rnacentral:lncRNA from 1 species
CAACUGAAGUAGACAUUGUCCGACAAUUUUUUUAAAAAGAACACAAUAAAUUACAUAAAAAAGAUGCAGCUUUACAGGCGAAAAAACAUUAAAGCACUAGGAUGAAUUUAUAGCCACUACUGCUAGUCUACUACCUCUUCUCCCAGCAGCAAAGUUUAUAUAACACAAACAACAGCAAUAAGUAACUUCAAAUUAAUUUAGAUUCUUACCAGCAGCACCAACAAUCCAGGGAAAUAGAAUAAGUGGAAUUAAAAAAAAUGAUCUGAUUAGUGGUAAACGCCUC